AUACGUAGGUGGCGAGCGUUGUCCGGAAUUACUGGGUGUAAAGGGCGUGUAGGCGGGAUGGCAAGUCAGAUUUGAAAUACCGGGGCUUAACUCCGGGGCUGCAUCUGAAACUGUUUUUCUUGAGUGUCGGAGAGGAAAGCGGAAUUCCUAGUGUAGCGGUGAAAUGCGUAGAUAUUAGGAGGAACACCAGUGGCGAAGGCGGCUUUCUGGACGCCAACUGACGCUGAGGCGCGAAAGCGUGGGGAGCAAACAGGAUUAGAUACCCUGGUAGUCCACGCCGUAAACGAUGGAUACUAGGUGUAGGAGGUAUCGACCCCUUCUGUGCCGGAGUUAACACAAUAAGUAUCCCACCUGGGGAGUACGGCCGCAAGGUUGAAACUCAAAUGAAUUGACGGG
rnacentral:rRNA from 1 species